rnacentral:lncRNA from 1 species
UAUAUAUCGUAUCCCAGCCAUGCUGAUUUAUUUUGAGAUUUCUUCUACUGCACAUAAAAAAGUGAGUAUUAGAUAAAAUUGAAUCAGCAUAAUAACUUAAUAUUUCUGCUCGUCUGCUGCCUAAUUCUAAUCUACAGCACACCGGCUGCAAUUAUAUAAUGGAAAUAUAGGAGAUGACUUGGAUUGCCUGGAUCUAUUUUCAUUCGCUCCCAAGAGGCUAUCUGACAAAUAUUAAUAACCAUUGACUCAGGGAAAUCUACAUAAUCUCACUGAUCCUCAGCGUCCUCUUUUGUAAAAUGGGAUUGGUAACGCCUGCCCUCUAAGGUGGUUGAGACUUGUUGCACAUGAAAUGCUUGGCACAGUGCCCUGCCUGCAACGAAUUGGAGGUGCCAUUCUCUGGACCAGUCAGAGUUUUCUGGAUGCAACGAUGUACUUCCACUCUGGUUACUUCAAGCGAAGGAGAAAUAAGUUGAACUGAAGCAGGUGACUGAGAGGACAAGAACCGGAGACCACAGGGGCCCUGGGAGGUAUUGAUCUCCAGUAAGCAUCUUGCUAACCUUAGUCCCACUCAGCAUCUGUUUCCAGAGAACUUAGUUGUCACAGCUCCCUUGCACACUACUGCUUUGAGUCAAACAAAUUCUUCUCUGGGGAAUGAGAUGAGGGAUGGCAUUCAUUCUUUGAAGCAGAACCACAGAGCAAGGCACAGGCAGAAUGGAGGAUGUGGGGACCUCCUGAUUGAUGGCUGGGCCGGAGGAUACAAAGUCAGUUUUAG